UGAGUAAGACGAUGGUUAUGUGAACUGACGACGGAAGCAUAUGACAAAAACGUACAAAAAGCUCGUAUAACGUUACGAUAAGUGUUCAAAUAGGGCUGGUGGUUGUAUUGAAAUAUAACUUAGUAUAUGUACUAAAAUUACCAAUAAAGAAAACUUUUCAAGAUGCAUUUGUAUCGUUGUUAUUUCAAAACGGAUAUUACUUUCUGAACGAUUCUCAAAACAGAUUAUUUCAAUACA